GAGUUUGAUCCUGGCUCAGGACGAACGCUGGCGGCGUGCUUAACACAUGCAAGUCGAACGAGGACCGGGUGCUUGCACCUGGAGCCGAGUGGCGAACGGGUGAGUAACACGUGACCAAUCUACCCUUGGGAGGGGGACAACCUGGGGAAACCCGGGCUAAUACCACAUGACGUACAGCCAUCGCAUGGGGCGGCACCAAAGGGGGCCUCUACUUGUAAGCUCUCACCCAGGGAGGAGGUCGCGGCGUAUCAGCUUGUUGGUGGGGUAACGGCCUACCAAGGCGACGACGCGUAGCGGGUCUGAGAGGACGAUCCGUCACAUUGGGACUGAGAUACGGCCCAGACUCCUACGGGAGGCAGCAGUGGGGAAUAUUGCGCAAUGGUCGAAAGACUGACGCAGCGACGCCGCGUGUGGGAGGAAGCCUUUCGGGGUGUAAACCACUGUCAGGUGGGAAGAACUGCGUGCGUCCAAACAGGACGUGCGUUUGACGGUACCAUCAGAGGAAGCGCCGGCUAACUCCGUGCCAGCAGCCGCGGUAAGACGGAGGGCGCAAGCGUUGUUCGGAAUUACUGGGCGUAAAGGGCGGGCAGGUGGUCCACUAAGUCUUUUGUGAAACUCCGGGGCUCAACUUCGGACAUGCAGAAGAUACUGGUGGACUAGAGACCGGUAGAGGCUAGCGGAAUUCCUGGUGUAGCGGUGGAAUGUGUAGAUAUCAGGAAGAACACCAGUGGCGAAGGCGGCUAGCUGGGCCGGGUUUGACACUCAGCCGCGAAAGCGUGGGGAGCAAACAGGAUUAGAUACCCUGGUUUC
rnacentral:rRNA from 1 species